rnacentral:rRNA from 1 species
AAUGGAAGCGAAUGAAGUCGACGUAUCUAGCACGUAUUCAGUUAAUAAACUGUUUCGAUAUUGCAUUUGGUAUUCGGUAAACGUUGCCUUAUGCGAUUUUAUCGUUCGGUUUUAUUAAUGCAUUUGCGUGUGGAGUGCGACGAAUCAGUUGAUAUUGUCGGUCGAAACGUUUCGAGAGGACAGUAUAAUUUCGGUUGUAUUGUAACCUAGAAUAUGUUGGAUGACCUGAUCAAUGUUGGCUGUUAUAUUUUAAAAUACGGGCUAUUUGGCGGUUUUAAUUGCAAUAUAUGCUCGGUCUUGUAUUGGACGCAUGCGUACGAUGCUUGACUUCGCGGUAUGUAUUGUAGUUUAUUGCCACUGUAUUUAAUUCGUCGUUUAGUCGGUCACUCAUUCGACCCGUCUUGAAACACGGACCAAGGAGUUUAUAGUACACGCAAGUCAUUGAGUCUUCACAAAGCUCAAAGGCGUAAUGAAAGUGAAACUGCAAACAGUUGGAACGUGAUCGAUGAAUUUUUUUUUUUUU